CCUACGGGCGACAGCAGUGGGGAAUAUUGCACAAUGGGGGAAACCCUGAUCCAGCGACGCCGCGUGAGUGAAGAAGUAUUUCGGUAUGUAAAGCUCUAUCAGCAGGGAAGCUAAUGACGGUACCUGUCUAAGAAGCACCGGCUAACUACGUGCCAGCAGCCGCAGUACUACGUAGGGGGCAGGCGUUAUCCGGAUGUACUGGGUGUAAAGGGAGCGUAGACGGCAUGGCAAGUCUGAAGUGAAAGGCCGGGGCUCAACCGCGGGACUGCUUUUGAAACUGGUAAGCUUGAGUGGAGGAGAGGUAAGUGGAAUGCGUAGUGUAGCGGUGAAAUGCGUAGAUAUUAGGAAGAACACCAGUUGCGAAGGCAGCAUACUGGACUGUAACUGACGCUGAGGCACGAAAGCGUGGGGAGCGAACAGGAUUAGAUACCCUUGUAGUC
rnacentral:rRNA from 1 species